rfam:Beauveria bassiana D1-5 contig00014, whole genome shotgun sequence.
GAAUUUUUGAUUAACGCCUGAAGUUAUUCAGGCCAACUGGAAG